AUUGAACGCUGGCGGCAGGCCUAACACAUGCAAGUCGAACGAGUGGCGGACGGGUGAGUAAUGUCUGGGAAACUGCCUGAUGGAGGGGGAUAACUACUGGAAACGGUAGCUACUACCGCAUACCAUCGGAUGUGCCCAGAUGGGAUUAGCUAGUAGGUGGGGUAACGGCUCAACUAGGCGACGAUCCCUAGCUGGUCUGAGAGGAUGACCAGCGACAUGGGGACUGAGACACGGUCCAGACUACGACGGGAGGCAGCAGAGGGGAAUAUUGGACAAUGGGAGGAAGCCUGAUGCAUCCAUGCCGCGUGUAUGAAGAAGGCCUUUGGGUUGUAAAGUACUUUCAGCGGGGAGGCGUUACCCGCAGAAGAAGCACCGGCUAACUCCGUGACAGCAGCCGCGGUAAUAC
rnacentral:rRNA from 1 species